rnacentral:misc_RNA from 1 species
AAGUCGUAACAAGGUUUCCGUAGGUGAACCUGCGGAAGGAUCAUUAAAGAGUUAGGGUCCUAGUGGCCCAACCUCCAACCCUCUGUUGUUAAAACUACCUUGUUGCUUUUGGCGGGGACCGUUUCGGUCAUCCGUCCGACGCUGACCCGUUCACCUGGGGUUGGCGAGCGCCCGCCAGAGUCCAACCAAACUCUUGUAUUAAACCAGUCGUCUGAGUAUAAAAUUUUAAUUAAAUUAAAA